rnacentral:rRNA from 1 species
UACGAGGGGGGCAAGUGUUGUUCGGAAUCACUGGGCGUAAAGGGAGCGUAGGCGGGCUCUUAAGUUGGAUGUUUAAAACCGGGGCCCAACCCCGGCGUGGCAUCCAAAACUGGGAGUCUUGAAUGGAACAGAGGCUAGUGGAAUUGGAGGUGUAGCGGUGGAAUGCGUAGAGAUCUCCAAGAACACCCGUUGCGAAGGCGGCUAGUUGGGUUCACAUUGACGCUGAGGCUCGAAGGCGUGGGGAGCAAACAGG